rnacentral:rRNA from 1 species
UACGAGGGGGGCAAGCGUUGUUCGGAUUCAUUGGGCGUAAAGGGUGCGUAGGCGGCGCGGUAAGUCGGGUGUGAAAUCUCGGAGCUUAACUCCGAAACUGCAUUCGAUACUGCCGUGCUUGAGGACUGGAGAGGAGACUGGAAUUUACGGUGUAGCGGUGAAAUGCGUAGAUAUCAGGAAGAACACCCGUGGCGAAGGCGGCUCUCUGGAACGCAACUGACGCUGAGACGCGAAAGCGUGGGGAGCAAACAGG